rnacentral:rRNA from 1 species
GCAUGGUCUUAGCUUGCUAAGGCUGAUGGCGACCGGCGCACGGGUGAGUAACACGUAUCCAACCUGCCGUCUACUCUUGGCCAGCCUUCUGAAAGGAAGAUUAAUCCAGGAUGGCAUCAUGAGUUCACAUGUCCGCAUGAUUAAAGGUAUUUUCCGGUAGACGAUGGGGAUGCGUUCCAUUAGAUAGUAAGCGGGGUAACGGCCCACCUAGUCAACGAUGGAUAGGGGUUCUGAGAGGAAGGUCCCCCACAUUGGAACUGAGACACGGUCCAAACUCCUACGGGAGGCAGCAGUGAGGAAUAUUGGUCAAUGGGCGAUGGCCUGAACCAGCCAAGUAGCGUGAAGGAUGACUGCCCUAUGGGUUGUAAACUUCUUUUAUAAAGGAAUAAAGUCGGGUAUGCAUACCCGUUUGCAUGUACUUUAUGAAUAAGGAUCGGCUAACUCCGUGCCAGCAGCCGCGGUAAUACGGAGGAUCCGAGCGUUAUCCGGAUUUAUUGGGUUUAAAGGGAGCGUAGAUGGAUGUUUAAGUCAGUUGUGAAAGUUUGCGGCUCAACCGUAAAAUUGCAGUUGAUACUGGAUGUCUUGAGUGCAGUUGAGGCAGGCGGAAUUCGUGGUGUAGCGGUGAAAUGCUUAGAUAUCACGAAGAACUCCGAUUGCGAAGG